UACGAAGGUGGCAAGCGUUGUUCGGAUUUACUGGGCGUAAAGGGAGCGUAGGGGGUGGGGUAAGCCCCGCGGGAAAGCUCCAGGCUUAACCUGGAAAGGUCGCGGGGGACUGCUCCGCUUGAGGACGGGAGAGGAGCGCGGAAUUCCCGGUGUAGCGGUGAAAUGCGUAGAGAUCGGGAGGAAGGCCGGUGGCGAAGGCGGCGCUCUGGAACGGCCCUGACACUGAGGCUCGAAAGCGUGGGGAGCGAACGGG
rnacentral:rRNA from 1 species